rnacentral:rRNA from 1 species
AUGUUGCCAAAAAAGCAUUUAUCUGGUUGUGCGAAAAGGAAAAAGAAGAAACUUGUAAAUGAAUUCACUGGAACUCAAAAGGGUGCUAUUCAUAAAUUCGUUUUAAAAAAAUCCACUGCCGAGAAUCCAGAGGUAUUAGCUGUUCAUAGUGUUGAAGAAGAACAAUCUAAUGAAAACUUAGUGGAGGAAAAUGUUGACAUCGACGAUUCUACAAAUUUGGGUGGCCAUGAGAAUGUUUCUGAUACUGAAAAUCCUAAAGAAGAUGGACACAAAUCUUCUAGUUUAGAUAUUCAUGACCCUAGAACUUGGGAAAUUCUUGACAAUAAAUCAAGAGACAUUCUAAUAGAGAAAGGGCCUACAAGGGAUUUAAAUCUUGUGUAUCAUCUAGAUGAUAACGGUAGACAUUUUUCAAAUGCCUACUACUCAAGAAACCUAAGUAAUGGGGAGGUUAGUGAUAGGAAAUGGUUGGUGUACUCUAAGGAUGCGAAUAAAGUUUACUAUUUUUGCUGCAAAUUGUUCAAAUCGGAAGGUAACAAAAGUCUGUUAGCAUCCGAGGGACUAAGUGAUUGGCAACAUCUUAGCCAGAGGCUCAAACUUCAUGAGAAUAGUAUUGAGCAUAUCACUAACAUGAAUACUUGGAAUGAGAUAAGGCCGAGACUAAAUAAAAAUCAAACAAUUGACAAAGAUUUGCAGCAAGAAAUUUCAAAAGAAAAAGAGCGAUGGAGACAAGUUUUAAUAAGAAUUGUUGCUGCUGUGAAGUUUCUUGCUAAACAUAAUUUGGCUUUCCGAGGAUCGAAUGAGAAACUUUAUCAAGAUAACAAUGGUAAAAUUUUGGGAAUAAUAGAAAUGAUGGCAGAAUUUGAUCCUAUAAUGCAGGACCAUAUUAGGUGUGUUAAAAACACUAUCAUAAGGAUAAUUAAGGAUGCCAAAUAUUUCUCUGUAAUUCUAGACUGUACCCCUGAUGUAAGCCAUCAAGAACAAAUGACUCUAAUUGUGAGGUGUGUAAACAUGUCAAAUAACACUACCAAAAUAGAAGAUUAUUUUCUGGAGUUCUUGAAGGUGGAUGAUACAUCUGGACUAGGACUCUUCAAUGAGUUAGUAGGUGCCCUUAAAUCUCUUGAUUUGAAUGUUAAUGAUGUUAGAGGUCAAGGCUACGAUAAUGGUUCUAACAUGAAAGGAAAACAUCAAGGUGUUAAAACACGUUUGCUUGAAAUAAAUCCUAGAGCAUUGUACAUGCCAUGUUCCUGUCAUAGCCUCAAUCUUACAAUUUGUGACAUGGCAAAAUCAUGUAGCAAAUCUAUUACCUUCUUCGGAGUUGUGCAACGAAUUUAUACAUUGUUUUCCGCUCCUCAGAUAUUGUUAGCUUUAUUGGAAUUGGAAAGAACUUCUAGUGAUGACCCAAAAACUAAGAGCGAUGCACAUUCUUUGGUUACUGCACUUACGAAUUUUGAAUUUUUACUUGGUAUGGUCAUUUGGCAUGCCGUUUUAUUUACCAUAAACACUAUAAGUAAGAAGUUGCAGUCUAAAUUUGUUUGCAUUGACACUACCCUUAAGCAAAUUGAAGGUGCAAUCUCAUUUUUUCAGAAGUACAGAACUGAUGGCUUUACAUCUAGUUUAAAUAUUGCAAAAUCUAUUGCAUCUACCAUGGAUAUUGAACCUAGAUUUCUGACAAAACGUCGUGUUACGAGAAAAAGACACUUUGAUGAAAAUAAUGACGAUGAAGAAAAUGUUAUAAAUGCAGAAGCGCAAGCAGCCGAGGAGGAGUCCUUUAGAGAUUUGAAGUCAUUUGAAAGUAUAUUUGGUUUCUUGUUCAACUCCGAAAAAUUGAAGUCUUUGGAUGAUAAAGAACUUAGAGAAUGUUGCACUAAAUUUUCAAAUACGUAUUCUCAUGGUAGCUUGUCAGAUGUUAAUUUAGAUGAUUUCUGUUCUGAAUUAAGAGUGCUUCAAAUGACUUUACCAAAUAGAUUAAUGUCAGCGGAUGAGAUUUUUGAUUUUGUUAGAGCUGCAGAUUGCUAUCAAAAUGUGUCUAUUGAUUAUCGAAUCCUCUUAACUGUUCCUGUUACUAUAGCAUCUGCUGAAAGAAGUUUUUCGAAACUAAAAUUACUAAAGAACUAUUUGAGAUCAACUAUGUCACAAGAGAGAUUGAAUGGCUUGGCCAUGUGCUGUAUUGAGAAACAUAUGUUGGACAACAUUGAUCUUGACACUAUUAUUAGUGAUUUUGCCUCUAAAAAUGCUCGAAGGUGUCGCUUCUCUUGA